rnacentral:lncRNA from 1 species
GAUUUGAAGUUGGAAACUAAUAAAAUCCGGUUGGAAGAUACAGUAGUUGCUGAAGUGGAAAAUAAUUUGAAAGCUAUGAACAUAGGUACCCAACAGGUAGCUCAAGUUCAACUUGCUCAGACCAUCACUUGUGAAAUCUGUAAUGGACCGCACCAUAUUGUGUAUUGCUUUACCACCCCUCAACAAAUUGAAGAGAUAAAUUUUUUGAAGUAGAAUAACCCCUACUCCAACA